UGGGGAAUUUUGGACAAUGGGCGCAAGCCUGAUCCAGCAAUGCCGCGUGCAGGAUGAAGGCCUUCGGGUUGUAAACUGCUUUUGUACGGAACGAAACGGCUCUGUCUAAUACAUGGGGCUAAUGACGGUACCGUAAGAAUAAGCACCGGCUAACUACGUGCCAGCAGCCGCGGUAAUACGUAGGGUGCAAGCGUUAAUCGGAAUUACUGGGCGUAAAGCGUGCGCAGGCGGUGAUGUAAGACAGAUGUGAAAUCCCCGGGCUUAACCUGGGAAUUGCAUUUGUGACUGCAUCGCUGGAGUGCGGCAGAGGGGGAUGGAAUUCCGCGUGUAGCAGUGAAAUGCGUAGAUAUGCGGAGGAACACCGAUGGCGAAGGCAAUCCCCUGGGCCUGCACUGACGCUCAUGCACGAAAGCGUGGGGAGCAAACA
rnacentral:rRNA from 1 species